rnacentral:rRNA from 1 species
GCAGUCGAACGAUGAUUAUCUAGCUUGCUAGAUAUGAUUAGUGGCGGACGGGUGAGUAACAUUUAGGAAUCUGCCUAGUAGUGGGGGAUAGCUCGGGGAAACUCGAAUUAAUACCGCAUACGACCUACGGGUGAAAGGGGGCGCAAGCUCUUGCUAUUAGAUGAGCCUAAAUCAGAUUAGCUAGUUGGUGGGGUAAAGGCCCACCAAGGCGACGAUCUGUAACUGGUCUGAGAGGAUGAUCAGUCACACCGGAACUGAGACACGGUCCGGACUCCUACGGGAGGCAGCAGUGGGGAAUAUUGGACAAUGGGGGCAACCCUGAUCCAGCCAUGCCGCGUGUGUGAAGAAGGCCUUUUGGUUGUAAAGCACUUUAAGCAGGGAGGAGAGGCUAAUGGUUAAUACCCAUUAGAUUAGACGUUACCUGCAGAAUAAGCACCGGCUAACUCUGUGCCAGCAGCCGCGGUAAUACAGAGGGUGCGAGCGUUAAUCGGAAUUACUGGGCGUAAAGCGAGUGUAGGUGGCUCAUUAAGUCACAUGUGAAAUCCCCGGGCUUAACCUGGGAACUGCAUGUGAUACUGGUGGUGCUAGAAUAUGUGAGAGGGAAGUAGAAUUCCAGGUGUAGCGGUGAAAUGCGUAGAGAUCUGGAGGAAUACCGAUGGCGAAGGCAGCUUCCUGGCAUAAUAUUGACACUGAGAUUCGAAAGCGUGGGUAGCAAACAGGAUUAGAUACCCUGGUAGUCCACGCCGUAAACGAUGUCUACUAGCCGUUGGGGUCCUUGAGACUUUAGUGGCGCAGUUAACGCGAUAAGUAGACCGCCUGGGGAGUACGGCCGCAAGGUUAAAACUCAAAUGAAUUGACGGGGGCCCGCACAAGCGGUGGAGCAUGUGGUUUAAUUCGAUGCAACGCGAAGAACCUUACCUGGUCUUGACAUAGUGAGAAUCCUGCAGAGAUGCGGGAGUGCCUUCGGGAAUUCACAUACAGGUGCUGCAUGGCUGUCGUCAGCUCGUGUCGUGAGAUGUUGGGUUAAGUCCCGCAACGAGCGCAACCCUUUUCCUUAUUUGCCAGCGGGUUAAGCCGGGAACUUUAAGGAUACUGCCAGUGACAAACUGGAGGAAGGCGGGGACGACGUCAAGUCAUCAUGGCCCUUACGACCAGGGCUACACACGUGCUACAAUGGUAGGUACAGAGGGUUGCUACACAGCGAUGUGAUGCUAAUCUCAAAAAGCCUAUCGUAGUCCGGAUUGGAGUCUGCAACUCGACUCCAUGAAGUCGGAAUCGCUAGUAAUCGCAGAUCAGAAUGCUGCGGUGAAUACGUUCCCGGGCCUUGUACACACCGCCCGUCACACCAUGGGAGUCUAUUGCACCAGAAGUAGGUAGCCUAACGCAAGAGGGCGCUACC